rnacentral:rRNA from 1 species
UGGGGAAUAUUGCGCAAUGGGGGAAACCCUGACGCAGCAACGCCGCGUGAAGGAUGAAGGUUUUCGGAUUGUAAACUUCUUUGAUGAGGGACGAAACAAAUGACGGUACCUCUUGAAUAAGCCACGGCUAACUACGUGCCAGCAGCCGCGGUAAUACGUAGGUGGCAAGCGUUAUCCGGAUUUACUGGGUGUAAAGGGCGUGUAGGCGGGAGUGCAAGUCAGAUGUGAAAAUUAUGGGCUCAACCCAUAACCUGCAUUUGAAACUGUUCUUCUUGAGUGAUGGAGAGGCAGGCGGAAUUCCGUGUGUAGCGGUGAAAUGCGUAGAUAUACGGAGGAACACCAGUGGCGAAGGCGGCCUGCUGGACAUUAACUGACGCUGAGGCGCGAAAGCGUGGGGAGCAAACAGG